rnacentral:rRNA from 1 species
AGGACGAACGCUGGGCGGCGGUGCCUAAUACAUGCAAGUCGAACGGUCUUUCUAUGGAAGCUUGCUUCCACUGAGAAGAUAGUGGCGAACGGGUGAGUAACACGUGGGUAACCUGCCCAUAAGAGGGGGAUAACAUCCGGAAACGGGUGCUAAUACCGCAUAGUUUUCUUGAUCGCAUGAUUGAGAAAGGAAAGACGGCCUUUGUGCUGUCGCUUAUGGAUGGACCCGCGGCGUAUUAGUUAGUUGGUGAGGUAACGGCUCACCAAGACGAUGAUACGUAGCCGACCUGAGAGGGUGAUCGGCCACAUUGGGACUGAGACACGGCCCAAACUCCUACGGGAGGCAGCAGUAGGGAAUCUUCCGCAAUGGACGAAAGUCUGACGGAGCAACGCCGCGUGAGUGAAGAAAGGUUUUCGGAUCGUAAAACUCUGUUGUCAGAGAAGAACAAGUUGGAGAGUAACUGCUCCAGCCUUGACGGUAUCUGACCAGAAAGCCACGGCUAACUACGUGCCAGCCGCAGC